GGCACAUCCCGCGCGGUCCUAAUGCUUGAUGGUUCCAUCAGACUGUGGACGUGGGUUUGGGACUUUCGGACCACGGCGAGGUGAGCUCGGCCCGGAGCGGCAGAAGUGGGCGAGGUUCGCGUGGGAGAAUGGACAUCGACUUAGUUUUUUUCUUGAGAGAUGUGGCGGUGCCAUGGCUGCAGACCGUCUUCGCAUCAGCCACCGCCCUGGAUCACGCCGAAUGGGUUCCCAGCCCCUGCCGCCUCGUGAACUCCGCCAAAGUCAGCCACGGGACAUUACCAUAUUCUAAAACUUCACCUGGACCGUUGGUGUGAACGCUGGGACGAAGAUCCGGGAGUUAGGUCAGGAUGUAGCAGUGGUCUGGGGCGGCGAGCGCCCUUGCUCAGGCUGGCUGCAAGGAGCUGCUUUGGACCGGGUAUCCGGCUGAGGGGACCCUGUUGCUGGGGGUGCUUGGCCUAAUGGUUGCGGCUGGCUUGCAAGGUUAAGUUUAAGAACGCCCUCCUGCCCCAAAUCCAUGAUUUGCGCAAUCACUUAUUAGUUACAUUUUAGUUCCUAUCCGUGAACAUUUGGAAUUCUUGUGCUGGUGUGAAUUUCCUGUAACUCUUUUAAACAAUUUAAUAAGUUACUGUCUUGGCAGGGUUUUAGGUUUUUAAGCGACAUUACAUUUUUAAGGUUUGGAGACACCCCCACCCCAUGACUCUCUUUCAGUGAUAUGUAUAGCUCAACCAUAAAAAUCAGUUUAAAAACCAAGCCAACCCAAGGGGCCAUGAUUCCUCUCAGAGCCAUCAGGACUAUCCUUCUAUGGCUGUCUCACUUGUGCUGUAGCCUGACUGCCUGUCAAGAAGGAGUUCUUGGCAUGCUGUUUGUCAGUCCAUGGCUGUAAAUAAAUAUAAAUCUGUGCUCAGGGGCAGGGGAAACAGGAUGAUGAUGAUGAUUUGAGGGUCCAUAAAAGUAGUUUCUUUGUGAGUUUGUUUUUUUUUUAAUUUUCCUACAGUUUUAAAUAAAGAACUUAUACCAC
rnacentral:lncRNA from 1 species